rnacentral:rRNA from 1 species
UUGCAUCAGCUUACCAUGCAGUCGAGGGGAACGGCAUUAUGUGCUUGCACAUUUUGGACGUCGACCGGCGCACGGGUGAGUAUCGCGUAUCCAACCUGCCCUUUACUUGGGGAUACCCCGUUGAAAGACGGCCUAAUACCGCAUAGUCUUCGAUGACGGCAUCAGAUUUGAAGUAAAGAUUUAUCGGUAAUGGAUGGGGAUGCGUCUGAUUAGCUUGUUGGCGGGGUAACGGCCCACCAAGGCGACGAUCAGUAGGGGUUCUGAGAGGAAGGUCCCCCACAUUGGAACUGAGACACGGUCCAAACUCCUACGGGAGGCAGCAGUGAGGAAUAUUGGUCAAUGGACGGAAGUCUGAACCAGCCAAGUAGCGUGCAGGAUGACGGCCCUAUGGGUUGUAAACUGCUUUUGUAUGGGGAUAAAGUCAAUCACGUGUGAUUGUUUGCAGGUACCAUAUGAAUAAGGACCGGCUAAUUCCGUGCCAGCAGCCGCGGUAAUACGGAAGGUCCAGGCGUUAUCCGGAUUUAUUGGGUUUAAAGGGAGCGUAGGCGGAUUGUUAAGUCAGCGGUUAAAGGGUGUGGCUCAACCAUGCAUUGCCGUUGAAACUGGCGAUCUUGAGUGCAGACAGGGAUGCCGGAAUUCGUGGUGUAGCGGUGAAAUGCUUAGAUAUCACGAAGAACUCCGAUCGCGAAGGCAGGUGUCCGGGCUGCAACUGACGCUGAGGCUCGAAAGUGUGGGUAUCAAACAGGAUUAGAUACCCUGGUAGUCCACACAGUAAACGAUGUAUACUCGCGGUUUGCGAUAGAUUGUAAGCCGCCAAGCGAAAGCAUUAAGUAUACCACCUGGGGAGUACGCCGGCAACGGUGAAACUCAAAGGAAUUGACGGA